rnacentral:rRNA from 1 species
GUAAGGAAUAUUGGACAAUGGGGGAAACCCUGAUCCAGCCAUGCCGCGUGAGUGAAGAAGGCCUUCGGGUUGUAAAGCUCUUUCAGAUGUGAAGAUGAUGACGGUAACAUCAGAAGAAGCUCCGGCUAACUUCGUGCCAGCAGCCGCGGUAAUACGAAGGGAGCGAGCGUUGUUCGGAAUCACUGGGCGUAAAGAGUGCGUAGGCGGUUAUACAAGUCAGGAGUGAAAUCCCAGGGCUCAACCCUGGAAUUGCUUUUGAAACUGUAUAGCUAGAGUCCCGGAGGGGUUAAUGGAAUUCCGAGUGUAGAGGUGAAAUUCGCAGAUAUUCGGAGGAACACCAGUGGCGAAGGCGAUUAACUGGACGGGCACUGACGCUGAGGCACGAAAGCGUGGGGAUCAAACAGGAUUAGAAACCCUAGUAGUCC